UUUUAAAUUUUUGAACUUGUUGCCUUUUGUUGGCUGUUGUUCGUGUGAUUCUUUGUCAAUUGUGUUCUCCAAUUUAUUUAUAUUGUAGUCCUGUGUUGUCAUUAUGAUGUUAUAUUUCACAUGGCCAUAAAAGUGCGAGGUUUGGCAUGCCACAAAACCAGGUUCAACCCACCAUUUUUUCCUUUAAAAAUGCCCUGUACCAAGUCAGGAAUAUGGCCAUUGUUAUAUUAUAUUUCGUUUCUGUGUGUAUUACAUUAUAACGUUGUGUCGUUUGUUUUCUCUUAUUUUUAAGUGUAAAUUCACAUUGCGAUAAGACGUGUCACGGUACUUGUCUAUCCCAAAUUCAUGUAUUUGGUUUUGAUGUUAUAUAUAUAUGUUAUAUUUGUUAUUCUCGUGGAAUUUUGUCUAUGUGUGUUACAUUUUAGUGUUAUGUCGUUGUUCUCCUCUUAUAUUUAAUGCGUUUC
rnacentral:lncRNA from 1 species